rnacentral:rRNA from 1 species
GAGUUUGAUCGUGGCUCAGAUUGAACGCUGGCGGCAGGCCUAACACAUGCAAGUCGAGCGGUAGAGAGAAGCUUGCUUCUCUUGAGAGCGGCGGACGGGUGAGUAAUGCCUAGGAAUCUGCCUGGUAGUGGGGGAUAACGCUCGGAAACGGACGCUAAUACCGCAUACGUCCUACGGGAGAAAGCAGGGGACCUUCGGGCCUUGCGCUAUCAGAUGAGCCUAGGUCGGAUUAGCUAGUUGGUGAGGUAAUGGCGUCACCAAGGCGACGAUCCGUAACUGGUCUGAGAGGAUGAUCAGUCACACUGGAACUGAGACACGGUCCAGACUCUACGGGAGGCGAGCAGUGGGGAAUAGUUGGACAAUGGGCGAAAGCCUGAUCCAGCCAUGCCGCGUGUGUGAAGAAGGGUCUUCGGAUUGUAAAGCAC